GGCAGUUCUCAGGUGAUGCAACCUGGAAUCGGGCUCCUUCCUCUCUGGUUCCCAGUGUGUCACCCAAGAGCUGCC
rfam:Myotis davidii contig209006, whole genome shotgun sequence.